GAGAGAGAGAGAGAGAGAGGGCGAUUGGAGUGUCGUCGUCGAUUAUGGUACGAAGGCUUCCGUCAUUGAUGAGCUCCGUCGACAAAAUUGGUUCUGGGGAUUGCUUAAAUCGGCACCGUCAAGUUAGCGCGACAAGAAAGUGCACACCAGAGAGAAUCCUCCGUACUCCCGGAAGGUCACAAACUCACUUGUAUCAUUUGUUCUGGUGACGAGUCAAGGAGCUGGGACAAAAUUAUCGCAGGACUCCCACACAGGCAACCAACGAGUCACUGAUCUCUCCAUGGUACCUAUGAUGGACACAGCUGUUCCUCUGCGACACCCUGCUGAUCACAAAGAUGGCACAGCUGAGGAAGAUUCUAGGGGUAAAGACAAUGGUUCAUGUGUGAGACCUGCGGCAAGAUCUGCAGGGGUGGGCAAUGUGCAGCAGUUGCAGCUGUGUUCGAGUGUGAGAUUAAGCCAAAUUUAUUGGUACUUCAAACCUGGCUCGGAGCAACUCCUGGUCCAAUUAUUUAAGAGAACAGCAGCCACAUGGCCUUUCCUGCCCUCGCCAUGACUUUUCCACCCCAGUAAAGGAGUCAGAAGAGGCAGAGGUAGAGAGAGAGAGAGAGAGGAGGGGAGAGGUAGUGAAUCUUUUUCCUGGUCCAGAAAUAGUUGAUGGUGAUGGAAUGAAUGCAUGUUAUUAAAUGAUACUUGGAUUUUGGACCCAUAGGAAACAUGCUUCUCGACAUAAACUGAGGGCAACAUGUUGGUGAUAAUGACACUGCAUCUUCCACUCAUCUUCCUUGACGAACCCCAAAAAUAGAGAGGAUUUGGGAGAGAAGGAUGAAUGCUGAAUCCACUUUUUAUGGGGCGACACGGAGUCUCAACUCCGGUUAUUCUAUUCUGUGGAUAAGCGGGGAAUGAUAUAAGAGAUACGUCAACCAUCCAAUUCCACAUACGGUUUACUUAUGCAAUUGGUUUGGUUGUCUAACUUUCUCUUCCAUUGUUUACUUCAGUUUAAGCACGUUCAAGUCACAGAGAAAGAUCAAAUCUUGUGGUGUUCACGAAGGACAAAGCAGUCACAAUACCACUUGUGUAGGCUACUGCAUAAAUCUGGAAAAGGACACUGUUCUCGAGAGGAGGAAAUCUUCUCACUCUUCUUCCAAGUUUCAGUCUUUCUAUCCUGUCCGCAGUUCCAUUUUCUAGUCUGUAUUAUCUUCGUAAGAAGGAUGCAUGUACUCAGCUGAGCCAUUUUGUGCUCUUUCAUUCUUGAAUCAAAAUAAUGG